UUCGUUUCUUGCCUAUUGUGC
rnacentral:piRNA from 1 species